rnacentral:rRNA from 1 species
GACGAACGCUGGCGGCGUGCCUAAAACAUGCAAGUCGAACGAGGGUAGUAAUACCUUAGUGGCGAACGGCGGAGUAAUACAUAAGCAACGUGCCCCGAAGACUGGGAUAUACAGCCGAAAGGCUGGGCAAUACCGGAUGUGACGGAAGGAUGGCAUCAUCUUUCCAUUUAAACAGUUUUUUGCUUCGGGAGCGGCUUAUGGCCUAUCAGGUAGUUGGUGAGGUAAUGGCUCACCAAGCCGACGACGGGUAGCGGGUCUGAGAGGAUGGUCCGCUCGAGUGGGACUGAGACACGGCCCACACACCUACGGGUGGCAGCAGUUGGGAAUCUUGCACAAGUGGGGAAACCCUGAUGCAGCGACGCCGCGUGGA